CACCGCGGUUAUACGAGCGACCCAAGUUGACAGUCACCGGCGUAAAGAGUGGUUAAAGAAUAAUUGAAACUAAAGCCGAACACCUUCAAGGCAGUUAUACGCACCCGAAGGCCAGAAGCCCAACUACGAAAGUGGCUUUAUCUUCCCUGAACCCACGAGAGCUCCGGCA
rnacentral:rRNA from 2 species